rnacentral:rRNA from 1 species
AUUGAACGCUGGCGGCAGGCCUAACACAUGCAAGUCGAGCGAGCGGCGGACUGGUGAGUAAUGUCUGGGAAACUGCCUGAUGGCGGGGGAUACCUACUGGAACCGGUAGCUAAUACCGCAUACCAUCAGAUGUGCCCAGAUGGGAUUAGCUAGUAGGUGGGGUAACGGCUCACCUAGGCGACGAUCCCUAGCUGGUCUGAGAGGAUGACCAGCCAUACUGGAACUGCGACACGGUCCAGACUCCUACGGGAGGCAGCAGUGGGGAAUAGUGCACAAUGGGCGCAAGCCUGAUGCAGCAAUGCCGCGUGUGUGAAGAAGGCCUUCGGGUUGUAAAGCACUUUCAGCGGGGAGGCGUUACCCGCAGAAGAAGCACCGGCUAACUCCGUGCCAGCAGCCGCGGUAAUAC